GACGAACGCUGGCGGCGUGCCUAAUACAUGCAAGUAGAACGCUGAAGGAGGAGCUUGCUUCUCCGGAUGAGUUGCGAACGGGUGAGUAACGCGUAGGUAACCUGCCUGGUAGCGGGGGAUAACUAUUGGAAACGAUAGCUAAUACCGCAUAAGAGUAGAUGUCGCAUGACAUUUGCUUAAAAGGUGCAAUUGCAUCACUACCAGAUGGACCUGCGUUGUAUUAGCUAGUUGGUGGGGUAACGGCUCACCAAGGCGACGAUACAUAGCCGACCUGAGAGGGUGAUCGGCCACACUGGGACUGAGACACGGCCCAGACUCCUACGGGAGGCAGCAGUAGGGAAUCUUCGGCAAUGGACGGAAGUCUGACCGAGCAACGCCGCGUGAGUGAAGAAGGUUUUCGGAUCGUAAAGCUCUGUUGUAAGAGAAGAACGAGUGUGAGAGUGGAAAGUUCACACUGUGACGGUAUCUACCAGAAA
rnacentral:rRNA from 1 species